rnacentral:rRNA from 1 species
AUCCUGGCUCAGGAUGAAUGUAGCUACAGGCUUAACACAUGCAAGUCGAGGGGAAACGACAUCGAAAGCUUGCUUUUGAUGGGCGUCGACCGGCGCACGGGUGAGUAACGCGUAUCCAACCUGCCCACCACUUGGGGAUAACCUUGCGAAAGUAAGACUAAUACCCAAUGACGUCUCUAGAAGACAUCUGAAAGAGAUUAAAGAUUUAUCGGUGAUGGAUGGGGAUGCGUCUGAUUAGCUUGUUGGCGGGGUAACGGCCCACCAAGGCGACGAUCAGUAGGGGUUCUGAGAGGAAGGUCCCCCACAUUGGAACUGAGACACGGUCCAAACUCCUACGGGAGGCAGCAGUGAGGAAUAUUGGUCAAUGGACGAGAGUCUGAACCAGCCAAGCAGCGUGCAGGAUGACGGCCCUAUGGGUUGUAAACUGCUUUUAUAAGGGAAUAAAGUGAGUCUCGUGAGACUUUUUGCAUGUACCUUAUGAAUAAGGACCGGCUAAUUCCGUGCCAGCAGCCGCGGUAAUACGGAAGGUCCGGGCGUUAUCCGGAUUUAUUGGGUUUAAAGGGAGCGUAGGCCGGAGAUUAAGCGUGUUGUGAAAUGUAGACGCUCAACGUCUGCACUGCAGCGCGAACUGGUUUCCUUGAGUACGCACAAAGUGGGCGGAAUUCGUGGUGUAGCGGUGAAAUGCUUAGAUAUCACGAAGAACUCCGAUUGCGAAGGCAGCUCACUGGAGCGCAACUGACGCUGAAGCUCGAAAGUGCGGGUAUCGAACAGGAUUAGAUACCCUGGUAGUCCGCACGGUAAACGAUGGAUGCCCGCUGUUGGUCUGAAUAGGUCAGCGGCCAAGCGAAAGCAUUAAGCAUCCCACCUGGGGAGUACGCCGGCAACGGUGAAACUCAAAUGAAUUGACGGAAGGGCGAAUUCG